rnacentral:rRNA from 1 species
GACGAACGCUGGCGGCGUGCUUAACACAUGCAAGUCGAACGGAAAGGCCCUGCUUUUGUGGUGUGCUCGAGUGGCGAACGGGUGAGUAACACGUGAGUAACCUGCCCUUGACUUUGGGAUAACUUCAGGAAACUGGGGCUAAUACCGGAUAGGAGCUCCUGCUGCAUGGUGGGGGUUGGAAAUUUUCGGCGGUUGGGGAUGGACUCGCGGCUGAUCAGCUUGUUGGUUGGGGAGUGGCUUACCAAGGCUUUGGCGGGUAGCCGGCCUGAGAGGGUGACCGGCCACAUUGGGACUGCGAUAGGCAGCAGAGUGGUACGGGAGGCAGCAGUGGGGAAUAUUGCACAAUGGGAGGAAGCCUGAUGCAGCAACGCCGCGUGCGGGAUGACGGCCUUCGGGUUGUAAACCGCUUCCGCCUGUGACGACGCGUGAGUGACGGUAAUGGGUAAAGAAGCACCGGCUAACUACGUG